rnacentral:lncRNA from 1 species
GAGGCUGAGGAGCUGUACCAGAAGAGAGUCCUGACAAUUACCGGCAUCUGUGUGGCUCUGCUGGUCGUGGGCAUCGUCUGUGUGGUCGCCUACUGCAAGACUAAAAAACAGAGGAGGCAAAUGCAUCACCAUCUCCGGCAGAACAUGUGUCCGGCCCACCAGAACCGAAGCCUGGCCAAUGGGCCCAGCCACCCUCGGCUGGACCCUGAGGAGAUCCAGAUGGCAGAUUACAUUUCCAAAAAUGUGCCAGCUACAGACCAUGUGAUCCGGAGGGAAGCUGAGACCACAUUUUCUGGGAGCCACUCCUGUUCACCCUCUCACCACUGUUCCACAGCCACACCCACCUCCAGCCACAGACAUGAGAGCCACACCCCAGGUGCCGACUUUCGAGAUCACGUCGCCCAACUCUGCCCACGCCGUGUCGCUGCCACCCGCAGCGCCCAUCAGCUACCGCCUAGCGGAGCAGCAGCCGCUCCUGCGGCACCCAGCGCCGCCCGGCCCGGGGCCAGGGCCCGGAGCGGACAUGCAGCGCAGCUACGACAGCUACUACUACCCGGCGGCGGGGCCCGGGCCGCGGCGCGGCGCCUGCGCGCUGGGAGGCAGUUUGGGCAGCCUGCCCGCCAGCCCCUUCCGCAUCCCGGAGGACGACGAGUACGAGACCACGCAGGAGUGCGCGCCCCCGCCACCGCCGCGGCCG